UGUACCUUUUAAAAAAAAUUAUUAAUUCAAAGAGUAACUGACUAUAUACAUUCAGAAAAUAGUAGGCAACUGCUCUUUUGAUGUACUGUGGGUGAAGAGGUGGCCAGAUUUCUCAAGUACUUUUAAAAAGGUUUCUUCAUGUUUUCAAGGUCAGACUCGGAUGUGCACAGUGGGGCGGGGAGCUGCUGGCACGGUCGUGGUGGUGCGUUCCUAGCACUGGCUGUGCGUUGGUCUCCUUGGGUCUGCUCGCUCGGGUUGUUUCCGAGGCCCACCUCAAGUGCACUGAGUUGGAAUCCUCACAGACAGGGGGUCUCGGAGUUGGGUUUUAAGUGCUGAGAGCAGUGUUUGGGAACCCAGCACCCCAGCAGCUAGUUCUCAUGAUGAGAAUGGAGUCCGAACUCUUUCCUGGAACCUGCAGGGCCCCACGCUCUAUUCCCCACCCUCAUUCCUGACCUCUGCCUCCUGUUUGUACUGUCUUCCCUUCCUGUGGUGUCCUGCUGUUCCCACUGCCUGCAUGCUGUCCCUACAUGCUCUGGUCUUAGAUCAAAAGUCCUUUCCCCAGCAAGCUACUCGACAUCCCCAGUAUGAAGUUGCUCCUACCACCCUGUCAAUUUCCAUCCCAUCUCUCUGAUUCACUUUAUUCCGAGCACUUGCAGCUCACCGAAAUUACUGUGUUUUCUCUUUCCCCUCCAGAAUGUAAACCGCAGGGAGUAGAGCCUUGCCAGUCUUGGUCCCGCCUUGUUCUCCUAACAUGGCACCUGGUCCUCAGGGCUCAGAUGGUGCUUGUUUUGAGAUGAGCCUGCUUUGUGCACACUGAGUCCAAGACAGGGCGUGGCCAGUGCCUGAAAGGCAUCCGCUACCACGGCAGAGGUCGCUUUGGGAUCAUGGAGAAGGUUUAUUGCCAUUAUUUUGUGAAGCUGGUGGAAGGCCCCCCGCCUGCCCCGGAGCCUCGGAAGACGGCCAUGGAGCACGCGAAGGAGUACGUGCAGCAGCUGCGCAGUCGGACCAUCAUCCACACUCUGUAAGGGCCUCGGCCUCUCCAGGGUGUGUGCGCUGCCCUUUAUUUUUAAAAAUAAAAAAAGAUUUAA